GGUUCCUUAGUGUAGCGGUUAGCACAUCUGCUUUACACGCAGAAGGUCCUGGGUUCGUGCCCCAGUGGAGCCA
rnacentral:tRNA from 1 species